CGGGGCGUGGCUCAGCUUGGUAGAGCGCACGGUUCGGGACCGUGAA
rnacentral:tRNA from 1 species